UACGAAGGGGGCUAGCGUUGUUCGGAAUUACUGGGCGUAAAGCGCGCGCAGGCGGCUAUCCAAGUCAGUGGUGAAAGCCCGGAGCUCAACUCCGGAACUGCCAUUGAAACUGUUUAGCUUGAGGACGAGAGAGGUGAGUGGAAUUCCCAGUGUAGAGGUGAAAUGCGUAGAUAUCGGGAGGAACACCUGUGGCGAAAGCGGCGCACUGGACCAUAACUGACGCUGAUGCGCGAAAGCUAGGGGAGCAAACAGG
rnacentral:rRNA from 1 species